AGUGAUUACUGUGUGUUUGAAGAUUUUCACUCCAUUCAAUCCUAACCUUGUUAUAUUUUUUUUGUCUUGUGUGUUUGAUUUUGUUUACAGAAGAAGGAAAAAGUAAGCACCUUAUCUUGUGUGUUUAAAGAUAGUAGAUUUACUCAAGAAGGAAAAAGUAAGCACAUUGUCUUGCGUAGUCGGUUUUGUUUGGCCAAUGUGGUAUCAAUAAGUUAGUGGUGAUGUUUCUAUGUAGUUUAGUCUUUGAGCUGAGGUCUCCCAAAAAUCUAUCCUUCCGAGGUAGGGGUAAGGUCUGCGUAUACUCUACCCUCCCCAGACCUCAUUAGUAAAUUCUACUGAAUGGUUAUUAUUGUUGUUAUGGAUUGUUUCUAACUAAAUAUGUAGAUAAAGAAAAAGAGGAUUGAUAAAUAAAUAAUUCUUUUUAAAUACCAAACAAAUUACUCUACCCAUGUAAAUCGUACAACAUGUUUAAAAUAAUUCUUUAAUUUGUUGAAUUUAUUUAGUGAUUUUCCAAUUUAAAAUUUAGGAGUCUAUUUGAUCUUGUAUAGCUAAACCAAAAAAGAAUGAAUAUUCACAUGGUAAUAAUCAUGGAAAAGUAGUGCAUUUUGGACUAUAUAUUUGGAGAUAAAAACCAUUGAACAAGUAUAAUUUAUAAAUUUAAUAAUUAUAUUUGUAAAAGAUUUAUGAACAAAGUUAUGUAUUUUGCUACAUCGUAAGUACUUUGCUACAGGUCCUCUUGGUCCAGGUGACAUACAUUUGAAGCAGAAUCAUUUGCUUUGCACUACUUUAAAUGAUACUUCAACGAAGAUGGUCAUUUAUAAUUUUCAUAGUGUAGUUCCAACCUUCUUGUGUACACGUGUUUGAGCAUCUUUCUUCUUUAUCAGUGUAUUUGUGCGUUAGGUUAUAUGUGUUUUAUCAGACUUUACUGAGGUGUAUAAGGUGUCUAUCUGUAUGUUUGUGCAAGUCAAGCAUUAUAGAACUAGUGAAAUUGUGA
rnacentral:lncRNA from 1 species